rnacentral:lncRNA from 1 species
AAGCACAAAGGAAUAUAAAUCAUUCUAUUAUAAAGAUUUGCUCAGCAUUUGUAAAAGCCAUCCAGUGGCGUUCUGGUCAAUUGGUUCUCAGAAGACAAAAAACAAAACCAACCAAAAAAUCAAAAAACAAAACAAGAAUCCUCUGAAGGGAAGGAAAGGAAGGAGGGAGGAAGGAGAGAAGGAUGAAAGGAGGAGUGGAAGGUGGGGAAGGAGAGAAGGAUGAAUUUAGAGGUCUCCACAUUGCCUGACAAAGUCUGUUUUAACUGGGUAAAAUAAAAAAA